rnacentral:rRNA from 1 species
CCAAUAGCGUAUAUUAAAGUUGUUGCAGUUAAAAAGCUCGUAGUUGAAUUUCGGGAUCAAAUUGUCGGUCGUGCCUCGGUACGUACUGGCGUUAUUGGUUCCUCCCUUCUGAAGAACCACGAUGUCAUUAAUUUGGUGUCGCGGGGAAUCAGGACUGUUACUUUGAAAAAAUUAGAGUGUUUAAAGCAGGCUCGCGCUUGAAUACAUUAGCAUGGAAUAAUGAAAUAGGACAUUUGAUUCUAUUUUGUUGGUUUCUAGGAUCGACGUAAUGAUUAAUAGGGAUAGUUGGGGGCAUUAGUAUUCAAUUGUCAGAGGUGAAAUUCUUGGAUUUAUUGAAGACUAACUACUGCGAAAGCAUUUGCCAAGGAUGUUUUCAUUAAUCAAGAACGAAAGUUAGGGGAUCGAAGACGAUCAGAUACCGUCGUAGUCUUAACCAUAAACUAUGCCGACUAGGGAUCGGAUGAUGUUAAUUUUUUAAUGACUCAUUCGGCGCCUUACG